ensembl:snoRNA Gm23675 predicted gene, 23675
GUUGUCCCUAGGGACAUUGCAGAUAUGGCUUCUGUGCCACAUGUAUGUCAGUAGGAAGCAGAGAGGAGGGUGGGAGAGUUGGUUCUGGGAUAACAGGAGAGCUGGCCCUGCCCCUCACU